rfam:Oryza barthii chromosome 6, whole genome shotgun sequence.
GCUAACUGUAAUUUUGCACGGUUCAUAUCUAACGUUUGACCGUUCGUCUUAUUUAAAUUUUUUUUAUUAUUAAUAUUUUUAUUAUUAUUAGAUAAUAAUACAUAAAUAUUACUUUAUAUGUGACUAACUAUUUAAAAAUUUUUCAUAAAAUUUUCAAAUAAAACGGGCGGUGAAUGUAGUAGUUGCUAAAUACUAACCCCGCCAAAA